CACGUAGGGGGCGAGCGUUGUUCGGAAUUACUGGGCGUAAAGGGCAUGUAGGCGGUCUUGUAAGCCUGACGUGAAAGGCUAUGGCUCAACCAUGGCACUGCGUUGGGAACUGCGUGACUAGAAUCACGGAGAGGGAGCUGGAAUUCCAGGUGUAGGGGUGAAAUCUGUAGAUAUCUGGAAGAACACCAGUGGCGAAGGCGAGCUCCUGGCCGAUGAUUGACGCUGAGGUGCGAAAGUGUGGGGAUCAAACAGG
rnacentral:rRNA from 1 species